rnacentral:rRNA from 1 species
CAGGCNUAACACAUGCAAGUCGAGCGCCCCGCAAGGGGAGCGGCAGACGGGAGAGUAACACGUGGGAACGUACCCUUCAGUUCGGAACAACCCAGGGAAACUUGGGCUAAUACCGAAUACGUCCGUAAGGAGAAAGAUUUAUCGCUGAAGGAUCGGCCCGCGUCUGAUUAGCUAGUUGGUGAGGUAAUGGCUCACCAAGGCGACGAUCAGUAGCUGGUCUGAGAGGAUGAUCAGCCUCACUGGGACUGAGACACGGCCCAGACUCCUACGGGAGGCAGCAGUGGGGAAUAUUGGACAAUGGGCGCAAGCCUGAUCCAGCCAUGCCGCGUGGAUGAUGAAGGCCCUAGGGUUGUAAAGUCCUCUCGACGGGGAAGAUAAUGACGGUACCCGUAGAAGAAGCCCG